GACGAACGCUGGCGGCGUGCUUAACACAUGCAAGUCGAACGGAAAGGCCCUGCUUUUGUGGGGUGCUCGAGUGGCGAACGGGUGAGUAACACGUGAGUAACCUGCCCUUGACUUUGGGAUAACUUCAGGAAACUGGGGCUAAUACCGGAUAGGAGCUCCUGCUGCAUGGGGGGGGUUGGAAAGUUUCGGCGGUUGGGGAUGGACUCGCGGCUUAUCAGCCUGUUGGUGGGGUAGUGGCUUACCAAGGCUUUGACGGGUAGCCGGCCUGGGAGGGUGACCGGCCACAUUGGGACUGAGAUACGGCCCAGACUCCUACGGGAGGCAGCAGUGGGGAAUAGUGCACAAUGGGCGGAAGCCUGAUGCAGCAACGCCGCGUGCGGGAUGACGGCCUUCGGGUUGUAAACCGCUUUCGCCUGUGACGAAGCGUGAGUGACGGUAAUGGGUAAAGAAGCACCGGCUAACUACGUG
rnacentral:rRNA from 1 species